GGGCGUGUGGCUCAGUUGGUAGAGCGCCCGCUUAGCAUAAAUCUUCGGAUUCAGCAUGCGGAAGGUCCCCGGUUCGAUUCCGGGCUCGUCCA